CCCCCAACUAAGGACAACUUUCAAAGUUUCUUCAUAACAUACUUGCUGAAAAAACAAGCUGUUUCCUUCCAGAAGCUACUUCCUAAACCAACUCAAAAUAAUAUGAGAGCCAUUCUAGAUGAAAUACUAUGUAAUGCUCAUGUCCUACAAAUGUUCCCAUGGAAAUAACAGGUUAAAGUUCCUGGAAAAGAAAUGAGAAAUCCCUGGUUUCUUCCUUACCUGCUACAUCAGGAGUCUGCAAACUUUUUCUGUAAAGAUCCAGACAUGUUUUUCAGAUCUCAGAAAAGAAACUCAUUCUAUACAGCUGAACCAGCUUACACUCUAGCCGGUGUGAAAUACGACUUCUUCGGAAUCAGUAGACCAAAUCCUGUUUACCGUGGAAGAAAAAAAAAAAAGAAAA